rnacentral:rRNA from 1 species
GAUGAACGCUGGCGGCGUGCCUAAUACAUGCAAGUCGAGCGAAUGGAUUAAGAGCUUGCUCUUAUGAAGUUAGCGGCGGACGGGUGAGUAACACGUGGGUAACCUGCCCAUAAGACUGGGAUAACUCCGGGAAACCGGGGCUAAUACCGUAUAACAUUUUGAACCGCAUGUUUCGAAAUUGAACGGCUGCUUCGGCUGUCACUUAUGGAUGGACCCGCGUGGCAUUAGCUAGUUGGUGAGGUAACGGCUAACAAAGGCAACGAUGCGUAGCCGACCUGAGCGGGUGAUCGGCAAAACUGGGACUGAGACACGGCCCAGACUCCUACGGGAGGAAGCAGUAGGGAAUCUUCCGCAAUGGAAGAAAGUCUGACGGAGCAACGCCGCGUGAGUGAUGAAGGCUUUCGGGUCGUAAAACUCUGUUGUUAGGGAAGAACAAGUGCUAGUUGAAUAAGCUGGCACCUUGACGGUACCUAACCAGAAAGCCACGGCUAACUACGUGCCAGCAGCCGCCGCCG